GCCCAGAGGGACCGGUCUCCCCGACCUGGGACCGGUCUCUCAGCCUGCCCCCGAAAAUCCAACGUUCGGGAACUGGUCUCUCCCUGCGCGGGACCGGUCUCUCCCCGCGCAGACGCGCUCGGGGACCGGUCUCAACUGCCAGGGACCGGUUGCCUCGCCUGCUACGCAGCACUGUUCACUGGGGGACCGGUCUCUCCUAUCAGGGACCGGUCCCCGAGAGUAAAACUCUCAGGACUC
rnacentral:lncRNA from 1 species